GGUAUGGUUCUUAAGCACCCAGAAGGCCAGU
rnacentral:piRNA from 2 species